rnacentral:rRNA from 1 species
AGUGAACGCUGGCGGUAGGCCUAACGCAUGCAAGUCGAACGGCAGCACAGUAAGAGCUUGCUCUUACGGGUGGCGAGUGGCGGACGGGUGAGGAAUACAUCGGAAUCUACUUUUUCGUGGGGGAUAACGUAGGGAAACUUACGCUAAUACCGCAUACGACCUACGGGUGAAAGCAGGGGAUCUUCGGACCUUGCGCGAUUGAAUGAGCCGAUGUCGGAUUAGCUAGUUGGCGGGGUAAAGGCCCACCAAGGCGACGAUCCGUAGCUGGUCUGAGAGGAUGAUCAGCCACACUGGAACUGAGACACGGUCCAGACUCCUACGGGAGGCAGCAGUGGGGAAUAUUGGACAAUGGGCGCAAGCCUGAUCCAGCCAUACCGCGUGGGUGAAGAAGGCCUUCGGGUUGUAAAGCCCUUUUGUUGGGAAAGAAAAGCAGCAGGUGAAUACCCCGCUGUUCUGACGGUACCCAAAGAAUAAGCACCGGCUAACUUCGUG